GGGCCGUUAGCUCAGUUGGCAGAGCAGCUGACUCUUAAUCAGCGGGUCCAAGGUUCGAGUCCUUGACGGCCCACCA
rnacentral:tRNA from 2 species